rnacentral:tRNA from 1 species
GGAGUUGUAGCUCAGCAGGAGAGUACUUGCCUAGCACAUGCAAGACCCUGGGUUCGAUCCUCAGCACCA